rnacentral:rRNA from 1 species
UCCUACGGGUGGCUGCAGUAGGGAAUCUUGCGCAAUGGGCGAAAGCCUGACGCAGCCAUGCCGCGUGAAUGAUGAAGGUCUUAGGAUUGUAAAAUUCUUUCACCGGGGACGAUAAUGACGGUACCCGGAGAAGAAGCUCCGGCUAACUUCGUGCCAGCAGCCGCGGUAAUACGAAGGGGGCUAGCGUUGCUCGGAAUUACUGGGCGUAAAGGGCACGUAGGCGGACAGUUUAGUCAGAGGUGAAAGCCCAGGGCUCAACCUUGGAAUGGCCUUUGAUACUGGCUGUCUUGGGUACGGGAGAGGUGAGUGGAACUCCGAGUGUAGAGGUGAAAUUCGUAGAUAUUCGGAAGAACACCAGUGGCGAAGGCGACUCACUGGCCCGUUACUGACGCUGAGGCGCGAAAGCGUGGGGAGCAAACAGGAUUAGAUACCCGAGUAGUC